rnacentral:rRNA from 1 species
UACGUAGGGGGCGAGCGUUGUCCGAAGUUACUGGGCGUAAAGAGCGCGUAGGCGGACCUUUAAGUGAGGGGUGAAAGGUUCGGGCUCAACCCGGAGAGUGCCUUUCAUACUGGGGGUCUUGAGUGCGGGAGAGGCAAGUGGAAUGGUCGGUGUAGCGGUGAAAUGCGUAGAUAUCGUGAGGAACACCAGAGGCGAAGGCGGCUACCUGGACAAUUGCUGACGCUCAGGCACGAAAGCGUGGGGAGCAAAAGGG